UCUCCCUUCCUCCCCCGACUCCUUCUCUCCUCCCUUCUUUCUCCCCUCCCCAUCACCGCUCUUUUUGGUGUGUUGCUCACUUUCUCCUCAGUUUGUCCAAACACUUUCAGUUUUCACUUUCAGGAAGUGUUGAGGUCCACACCCAACUCAGGCUCUCCAUCCCUGAGGGGAAGCACGUGGCUGUCCCCUUUCGGUGGAUUUCAAGCAUCCCUGGCGCAGGUGCAGCGGCCUUGCCCUGGGCUCACCAGCAGCCUUUGGGGUCCCAGUUGGCAGGCAGCCCUGUUCCCUGGGGGUCCCUGCCGGAGCUGCUGGUCCCUGGAGCUACCCCGUGGUACGGUUCAUCUGGACCAGCCUCUGAUGUGGGGAAGACCAAGCGAGAGCACACUGCGGAGAGCCCAAAAGUCAGAUGUCCUGGCUUAAGCUGCUGAAGCCACCUUGGACCAUGAGUGAUCUUGAGAAUGGAAGCCACUGUCUAGAUGUUGGAACAAAGACAAUGGCCUGGGCCUCCCUGAUGACACCGCAGAGUCACCGUAUGUGUCCUGGAGUACUUGCUCUCUGCUUCUUUUUCAUGAGAGAUAAGUACAUUUUUAUCUUCUUUAGGCCACUGCUAUAUUUUUCCCGUUAAACACAGCUAUAUCCAAUCCUAACUGGUUCAACCUAUAAAAUGUGAUUAUUUCUUGUUUUAAGAUAACUAUAGCUACCAAUUAUUUUGCACUUAGUAGCUGCCAGACACUGUACUAAGUGUUUUAUGGGUGUCACCUUAUCUAAUUUGCACAACAAGAAUACUUACAAGGUAGGUAUUAUUAUCUAUAAUUUACAAAUGAGAAAAUGGAGGCUUAGAAAGCUUACAUAGUAUCUACAGGGUCAUAUUGAAAAAAGCAGAGUUCUAAACCAGGUUGGGAUGACCCCAAAACUUGUUCUAAUCUUAAUCACUGUUAUCAGUGUAAUGCAGUUAUUAUCCUCUGUGGGUAAAAGAUGCUAUUCCUGAUUCACUCACGGCAAUACGAAAUAUACAAGGAGCACAGUGUUGGCUAAUAUUUCUAGAGACUCUUACGGAAUUGUCAAGAUGUAGACAACUUUAUGUCCAAUCUGCUCCCUGAACAAGAUUGACAACAAAGACCCGGCUUGCCUUCUGUAUCACAGAUGACAACUAUCCCCAAACCUUACCUAGGUUGUCAAACAUUCACCUUUAUAAGAGAUUUGCAAACAGAAAUAACACUGACUGCAAAACUGAUGGCGGGGAUUAAAUAAGAGGAUAUAUGUAAAAUGCAUAGAAGAAAAUCAGGUACACAGUAAAUGCUUGAUGAAUGGUACCUGACGGCACCAUUAUUUAAGGGAUCCACAGUGAGACUGUGAAAAUUUUCAGGAGUCAGAAAUAUUAGGUUCAACCACAACCUCUGCAACUUGCUAGUUAUGUGAACAUUGUUCAGUCAUUUAACUUUUUGGCUUCUAAUUUUCUGAGGAAUACAUUAUUUAUAUAACAGAACUGUAAUUGGGGAUAAAGCCUUUCCAGUCCCCAUCCCAGUGCCUGACGCAUUUUAGAAUCCCAGCCAAUGAAAUUCUUCUCACUAUUAUUCUCACAGAAUUCUAAUGAACAUACUACCAACAGUGAUUUUCUCCUUGGCCCAUUAACCACACGGAAGGGAGUAUUCGCUGUGGAGUGCCUCUGUAGCUGAGGGCCCCUGGCGCGUGGUUUCAUCAGAGGCAGACAGCUGCGUGAGUCACUGUGGUGGGCAGUGUGCUGGGCCACCCUGCGGGUCCUGCCAGAGUGCUGUGGAAUUCAAGUUUGUCUUCUCCAGUUUUAGUCUCUGCACGUGCGUUGGUCUCCUUUCUGCCCCUACAGUGUGGCCAAGGCCAUUCCAGCCUCAGGAGGGCAAGAGGAGGCCUGUUGGAUGCAUCCUGAAAACACAGGCCAUCACUGUGGGUGAGAUCUACCAGGACAGAUGCCAUUCUGCAAAGUGGGUACUUUCCAUGAGAAUCCAUCCAUGUUUUUCUCUUAUUCCUUCUCUUGGCAGAUUUUCACUCUUUUCACAACCUUGUUUCAUAGACAUCAAACAAUAACACAGCACAGAAGGAAAACAAGGGUCUUCUUAUACAAAUACCAUGUAUUUAAUUCUGGCACUCAUGAUUUAUUUAUAUCAGAAAGUCAUCUUAAAUUUUUAGGAGCUCACAACAUUCAAAACCUCACACAAAUUUCUAAACUAGUAGAGAUGUCUCUGCAUCUCCCACUACUUUCUUCUGCAUGUCAAGUUUCACUUUAGGUUAGAAUAGUCAUAUAUACCCGUUGAUGGGUGCAGCAAACCACCAUGGCACAUGUAUAGCUACGUAACAAACCUGCACAUUCCGCACAUGUAUCCCAGAACUUAAAGUAAAAUAAAAAUAAAAAAAUCACAACAUUGGAAAGCCAAAAAAAAUAGCCAUAUAUAAACUUUUUCAUCUUAAAAUCCAUUUUACUCCUAACUGUCAAGGAAAAACAGAUGGUUCUAAACUCCUCCUUCUAGGCUCCUAGUGGUAAAGCAAUUUGCAGGACAACCAUGGAAGAAAGGUGCCCGCCUUCUCUAAGCUGACAUGGCCCCGCUCCCUCCCUCAGUCUGUAGCCUCAGGAGGGGACUGCUUUGCCUGUGAGUGGGAGGGAGCUACCGUGUGAGUAGUUCCCAACAGACCAUCUGAAGUCAUUUUCCCAGGUGGCAGGAGAAACACAGAGCCAGACGUUACACUGCUUUUCAAAGAGGUAAGCUCUUUUUUUUUAACUGCUAUUUAAAACUCCAAACAAAAAUGAAGCUGUGGAUGCAUGCAAGAAUGAAGCCUAAGCAAAAAUAACUCUUCAAAAAGGAAGCAGGUUUUUUGGAGAGGGUGUGUGUGUGAGGGCGGGGCGGGGGCGAGUCCUUCAAUGUGGUUUUGAAAUUAAGGUCCAUGUUCUGUGAUAAUAAGCUAUGUAUCAAUGAGAAAGGCUGAGAUUAUGACAAGAGGAAAAGGAGUAAAGGAUUUGGCGGUUUAAUCACGUUUCUAUUCUUUUUUAUAUCUGCAUCUUCUUUGAAUGCAAGUAUCAAGUUCUGUUUGGCUUUUGUGGAAAGCCAUUUCCGAAGACCUGCCUUACUUGACUGUUUCUCCCUCUCUGGCUCUCCUGUUACCAACGUCCUAGAGUUGCCUCUGCUGCCCCAGCGAGGAUGGCGACACAAACAGCGGUGGUGUCAGCGGACAGCGGUGGUGUCAGCGGUGACCGAGGCAGGGCCGAGACUCCAGGGCCCUUCGGGUUCAAGCUGUGCCCCCUCGCGCAGUUCAGCACCUGCCAGCACUUCCAAGUGUGUGAUUGUCACGCUUGCCUGAUUACUCCUUCCUUUGGGCUCCCAUAGCAAUUUGUACAUUACUGUGGAAUUGAUCAAAUUGCUUUAUAACUAGCUGUUUAUGUGUCUUUAAUCUGUGUCAUUUUGGAUGGCAGGAAAUGCUCUUUCGGUAAUUUUUUUGUCCACACUGACUGGAAUACUGGUUGGCACAUAGUAGGUAUUCAACAGUUUUUUAUCGAGGGAAUGAAAGCUCUCUAAACCACAGCAAUCAUUUGUAGACAAAGACUCUUAGGGUGUAAUGUGAUUUAACAUCUGAUUUUUGGAAAAUAGUUACUGAGAUCAUUCCGACAAUAAUAGAGUGCAAUACCCUACCUUGAAUAAAGGAUAUUUUACUCCUUUA